rnacentral:lncRNA from 1 species
UGUUUUUUUUUUAAGAAUUCAUCAUACAAGGGCACUGCCUUUGACAUACUCGGUGAUAGCCAAAGCCACCAAACCCAACAUCGCAACCCGCCCAUUCAACAGUUCUGCAUCCGACGUCAUCAACCCACUCGACUUCGACUCCGCUCUCACCCCUUUAAACAACGGCACCAACGACGCCACCGACAGCACCAAACUCGUCGCUAGAAACACCGGCACACCACCGUUGGAGAUCUGAGAUAACACAUCUUGACCACUGCUUAACUCCACCGCCAACGCCGACACAAACCCUAUCAUCGCCAACCUUCCGUUGAUCCUCUCCGGUGCAGGCCCACUGAACGCCAACACGUCGGAAAACUUGGUACUGACCUUCGGCGCCGGUGGUGGCGGAGGCGGAGUGUUAAUUGGUGGCGGAGUAGGUGUGGCUGGAGAUUUGGAAGUGUCGGUUGAAGGCUGUUGAUCUUGUGACGUGCAUCUGACGACAGCAAAGUUGAGGCUUCUUCUAGAUGAAGAAGAGGUGGUGGUGAGACGUGCAACGGGGGUUGCCAUGAAGACUGAAGUAGCAGCCAUUGCAAUGGAUGAUUGAGAGAAGAAGGUUGUGGGAUUAAUGUGAUGUUGGUUGUUGAGGUGGUGGGUUAUAUAGGGGUGGGGGUGAAGACAAAGACUGGAUAUUAAAAGGGCCACGUUACUCGCUUUUUGGGUUGGGUCACGUGGCUUUCGAAUUAGCCGCUGAGAGGUUGUUGUGGUGAGUUCGGCCUCUACAUGUACAGUUUUAGUACUAGUGGACUGAUUGGACCAUGGAACUUUCUAGGUUGUUUAGAUAUAGCACUAUUUAGAAGUAGGCUACACUACAAGAAACUGGAGUUCUAGCGACGACAUUUGUCGCUGCUAAUGAUGCCCAAAAUCGUCGCUAAAGCAUAUCGUCGCUAAAAGACCGCUACUGUUGCCCCGUUGCUAUUGUCAAUUUGUCGCCACUAUUGAUGUCGUCGCUAAAAACGAAUCACUAAACAUUUUGAAAUCAAAACCUCAAAUGGUCAAACGACACAGAUCUACUAUAAUUACCAACAAAUCCACUAAAAUUACAAAGUAAGUCGGAAUGUACGUAUUGGUUUCGGAGUUGCGUCCGAGAUUGAGGCGUAUUGAGAUGGCAGUGCUCCGGCGGUUUGCAGUGUGGUGCGGCGACGUGGUGUGGCUGCGUGGUAUGGCGGUAUGGUGGAGGUAGAGAAGGAAGGGAUUUUGGGAGAGAAGAGUGAAUUGGGGGGGGGGGAGAAAGUGAGGGUUUAGGGUUAAGUCAGGGAGAAAUCUUGGCGCUUGUUUUUCGUUUGGCAGCGGAGGCGACAAAAAAACCUAGCCGUCAGAUCCUUCAACUAAUCAACGGUCAGGACUUGGUAUUAUGUGAGUGGUUCAGAUUGUGACCAUUAGCGACGACAUUCUUGGUGUCGCCGCUAAAAAGGUCGUCGCUAAUGCUCAUAUUUCUUGUAGUGCUAGUUUGUCUUUAAAUAAAGUUAGUAUAUGUAAUAUAUGCCUUUAAAGUGACGUUUUUGCCUCAAUAGACAAGUGAAUUCUC